GGCUACGCUGGCGGUAUGCCCUAACACAUGCAAGUCGAACGAAAGUUUAUACUUUAGUGGCGGACGGGUGAGUAAUACGUGAGAAUCUACUUUAGGAAGGGAAUAACAAUUGGAAACGAUUGCUAAUGCCCUAUAUGCUUAGCAGUGAAACAGAUUUAUCUGCCUGAAGAUGAGCUCGCGCCUGAUUAGCUAGUUGGUAGAGUAAAAGCCUACCAAGGCAACGAUCAGUAGCUGGUUUGAGAGGACGAUCAGCCACACUGGGACUGAGACACGGCCCAGACUUCUACGGAAGGCAGCAGUGGGGAAUUUUCCGCAAUGAGCGAAAGCUUGACGGAGCAAUACCGCGUGAGGGAAGAAUGCCUGUGGGUUGUAAACCUCUUUUUUUAGGGAAGAAAAUAUGACGGUACCUAAAGAAUAAGCAUCGGCUAACUCCGUGCCAGCAGCCGCGGUAAUACGGGGGAUGCAAGCGUUAUCCGGAAUUACUGGGCGUAAAGCGUCUGCAGGUGGCUUAAAAAGUCUGCUGUUAAAUAUUAGGA
rnacentral:rRNA from 1 species